AUUGAACGCUGGCGGCAGGCCUAACACAUGCAAGUCGAGCGGAUGACGGGAGCUUGCUCCUUGAUUCAGCGGCGGACGGGUGAGUAAUGCCUAGGAAUCUGCCUGGUAGUGGGGGACAACGUUUCGAAAGGAACGCUAAUACCGCAUACGUCCUAUGGGAGAAAGCAGGGGACCUUCGGGCCUUGCGCUAUCAGAUGAGCCUAGGUCGGAUUAGCUAGUAGGUGAGGUAAUGGCUCACCUAGGCGACGAUCCGUAACUGGUCUGAGAGGAUGAUCAGUCACACUGGAACUGAGACACGGUCCAGACUCCUACGGGAGGCAGCAGUGGGGAAUAUUGGACAAUGGGCGAAAGCCUGAUCCAGCCAUGCCGCGUGUGUGAAGAAGGUCUUCGGAUUGUAAAGCACUUUAAGUUGGGAGGAAGGGCAGUAAGCUAAUACCUUGCUGUUUUGACGUUACCGACAGAAUAAGCACCGGCUAACUCUGUGCCAGCAGCCGCAGUAAUAC
rnacentral:rRNA from 1 species